rnacentral:rRNA from 1 species
UGAGGAAUUUUCCGCAAUGGGCGCAAGCCUGACGGAGCGACGCCGCGUGAGGGAUGAAGGCUUUCGGGUUGUAAACCUCUUUUGCAGGGGAAAAAGGUACAUGUGCUCAUACCACGUGUAUUUGAUGGUACUUUGCGAAUAAGCCCCGGCUAACUACGUGCCAGCAGCCGCGGUAAUACGUAGGGGGCGAGCGUUGUCCGGAGUUACUGGGCGUAAAGGGCGUGUAGGCGGUUGGAUAAGUCUGGUGUGAAAUUCUCUGGCUUAACCAGGGAGCUGCGCUGGAAACUGUCUGACUGGAGUUCGGUAGGGGUCACUGGAAUCCCCGGUGUAGCGGUGAAAUGUGUAGAUAUCGGGGGGAACACCGGUGGCGAAGGCGGGUGACUGGGCCGCAACUGACGCUGAGACGCGAAAGCGUGGGGAGCAAACA